GAAAAAGUGGCCACAUCAGAAAGAAAAGACAUUAAGAAGGACAAGGAACCACCACGUGAUUCACCACGUCUUAGAGGGCGAGGAUCCUGCUGCUGUGUGUGCUUCUAGACUCUUAAAGGUAAAGGACCUGAUAUAUGAUCUCAAAAAAACUAUCAAUUGACUUAUUUCGCAAAAAGAUUGACAACAAGACCUUAAGACAUUUUUGCUCAGAACCAUCUUCUGCUGCUUCUCUUUUCCCAAAAGUUAUGCCAUUAAAAACAUUAUUUUCACGACAGAUAUUUGAUUGGAAAAAGACUUUUCAUUUUGCCUAAUAACAUCUUCUGUUUCCUUAAUGCAGAAAGACAGAAAACUAAUUUCAAAGAAGAAAAUUUUAUGCACAUAUUUUUAUAUACUCUAACUUCUUUUUGUGUAUGAAACAAUUUCAGUAUAAAUUAAUAUAUAUUGAUAAAUAUUAUAUCAAAAUGUAAACAAGAGACUUUUUCUGUUUUUAAAUUUGUAUUAAAAAUCAUAUGCUUGUUUAAGAAUGUUUCAGCAUCUAUUAUGUUAAAUCAUAAUGUAAGGUUCUAUUGCCUACUACUUGCUAAGAUUUCUGAUAAAAUUACUGUACUGUAUGUUGACAACAUAUCUGGUAAAAAAUGUCACAAUUCUAAUUCCCCAACUUAUUCAUUUGGUAAUUUUUCGUUCAUAUGGUAACUUUCUACAUGAAAUUCUGACUUUCAAAAUUAUAGCUCUCGUUACCACACAUUUAGUAAAAAAAUACAAAACUUAAAAGUGAAUUUAACUGAAUAAAUAGUUGUUAUGCCAUGCUUUUAAGGUAUCCUGAUAAAAUUACGAAAUUUUACCACAUUUACCAAAUCUUAUCAAUUAUUAUAAAAACAUAUUUCAUUGUUUAUUUUACAAAAAUCUUUGCCAAAGAGCUUCGGUCAAAAUUACCAAGGUUUUUUGGUUUUCUCAUAGAGCAAGAAACGGUAAUUUUUUUCCAUAUUCUAAUAGUUAUAACCCUACACUUUUUUUAAGUCUCUGAAGUGAAAAUGCUUUACUUCCUAAAGGUUCUAAAAUAAAUAAUUUUUAAUAAUCUUCAAUGAAGCAUGCAAAUAGGGAUUACAAUAAGAAGGUCUAAAUGUUAAUUCUUGAUAUGAAUAAAAAUUGUCAAUAUAAAGGUGCUGAAAAAAUAUAGCUUUAGAUAUUAGAAAAAAUCUCUCACAUGAUAUUUUUGACUUUAAAGAGUAAACAAACCAGUCAUUUUUCCCAUCCACACAAAAAAAAUCUUUUUUAUGUGCAAACAAAAUAUUUUUUCUAAACUCAAAAGUAACCUCUCAUAAUCAACACAUAGAUGGAGCACUUUUCACACUGACGCAAUUUUCAAUAGUUCAGAAAGACAUGCAUUUAGUGCUUCUUAGCAUAUUUGAUGUUAUUGCCAGUCUGCAAUUAAAUAACAUCUAAUGUUAAUUCUUACGUACUGUAUUUAAUUGUGUAAAGUAUAUACAAUCAAGUCUAUGAGCUUAUAAUGAGAGUCUUUUGCUCACAAUGCCAUUUUCUCUCAUUUUAGCAAAAAUUUUAUUUUAUGCUUACUUAAGUUUUCGAAAUGUGUAUAAUAAAAAAAACAUCCAUUUUACAAAAUUUUUCGUUUGGAUUGGCAACUAACUUCACACCACUUCUUGAAAGUUUAUUUUUCAAUAAAGUUAAUAACUAAUCAAACAAUAAUGUUUUUGUCCUUGAUGUUUACAAUUUUACCUAAAAGUUUAACAAUAUUUUAAUACCUCGUCCAGCUAUGUUAACAUAACUGGGUGGUCAGAACGAGGUGCGUAUUUGAGGUCAAAGUUUUCUCAUUUAAACUUAGUAUAUGAGGGGUUGAUUCAGCUACGGCAUUCUCACUAUAGCAGCAUAAAUGUCACGAGCAGCUUCUGCAACUUUAGAACCUAGACACUGAACUUAAAAAGGAGGAAGUGACAAAUGUGUUUUUCCUAACUUUCUUUUCAUUCCUUUUAAACUUUUCCUUUUCUAUCAUUCCUUUCCUUUUUACAUUCCUUUUAAUGAUCCUUUAUAUUCCUUUUUAAUGAUCUAAAAACUAAUCUUAAUUAACUUGAAUUAAAAAACAGACACUGACAGAACACGACAUUUCUUUCAAAAGAUUUAAAACAUUUUGCUAAAAACAUUUAAUGAUAUGCGAAAUGAUUUAAAAAUAAAAACCCUGGGAACUUAGUUGCCAAUCAAAUGUGUGAUUUCUAUAAAAAUAGUCACGGAAUUCCGGUGCAAAUUUUAUCAUUGCAUUCGAAAAUAGAGUAUUAGUUUCGAAAAUAGAGUAUUAGAAUCAUUUUUAUAAGUGUAAAUAUGCAUUUUCAGCAUGGAAUACGAAUUCCUCUCAGUAAAUAAGAUUAUUAUUAAAAAUGUAGUAGUUAUCACACUAUAUAUAUAAAAUUAUUUUAAAUUUCUAUGCAGAAUCUUAAAAUUUCUUCCCUUCUAAGCAUCAUGCUAUCUUAGAUGAAACUUUCAGAUUUAUAUCUUGAUGAGUUAAGAAGAAGAUGAAAUUUCAUAAUUGAAUCUAGUACAAAAUCCUUUAAUUUUGGCAUUCAACCAAUCUCGAAAAUAUAAUUCUGUUUUAUAUUUUAGCAUGAACUCAGAAAAAAAAGUGAAAUUUUAAAUUAUGCCAUUAAAAACAUGGAAUCUCUUCUUCUCAUUCUUACAUUUAAAAAAUUUCAUAAAGUAGUUAAAAAUUUAAUUAGUUUAAAGCUAAUUUUUUUUCUUCAAAAAAAUAGAUGUUCAAUAAAUAAGUAUAUUUUAAAUCUUGAGUAUUAAUACUGAUUUAGAAUAUUAUAACAAGUUUUCGUAAGUACAUCACUGAUAUAUAAAAAUGAAUUUGAAUAAUGGUCGUAUUGGAUUAUAUAUGAAGUUUACGUUAGCGACUAUGAAUGAAAUCACCUUACAUAGUACAGUUUUUAAUCAUUUAGAGAAAUAUGGUAGGAUUUGUAAUGAAAAUGUGAGAAAUGCCAAGUUUUUAUUUUUCGUUACUCUUA